AGGACAGCCAGCGUUACAAGGUAAGAUUCCGUCUUAGGGAAAGAAAAAGGGGGAGAGGUAAAGCUCCCCCUGCCUUUCUAGAGCAGUUCAGGGAUUAUAAGCAGUUCUUUUCCAUGAGGCCAACCUGUACAGUGUGUAGUAGAAUUCACUCACUAUGGUAACCCAGCGGAAUACUCAGUGAAAUGUCUUUGGCUGUUCUUUCCUAGGUCGAAGAAUUGGCCCUUCAAUCAAUGAUAAAUUCUCGAGGACGGACUGAGACACUGCCUUCUCAGCCUGCACCUGAACAGUUAUGUGAUAUGUCGCUGCAGGUGGACAAUGAAGCAUCAAUCAAUCAAACUGCACUGAAGCUGAGCACAAGGAGCCCAAUGGAGGAGGAGGAGGAGGAAGAAGAAGAGGAGGAAGAAUCUGAUUCGUGAAGGGGACAAGGGCUAGGGUUAGUUAUACAAACUAAACUAAGUCUUCGGUACUUCAUCUCUUCAAAGUCGUCUUGCAGGGCCUAUGUGAGAGAUAUACUUAUAAAUGGAAGAGGCUCAGUCCAUAAAGUAUCUACAUGCAAAUACGAAGACCUGAGUUUGGAGCCCCAGAAUCUGUGUAAAAACCUAGGCAGAGUGUCGAGUGCCUGUAACCCCAGCACUGGAGAUAGGAAGACCAACAGAUCUCUGAAGCACACUGGCCAGCCUCAUCUAGCCAAAACCAGUGAGUUCCGGUUUACUCAGAGACCCCGUCUGGAGAGCAGUGGUGGUGCUCAUAGAGGCACACAUCUCAAUCCCAGCACAUAUGUAUGGAAAGGGUUAAAUAACUGCAAAAAAAAUGGUUCUUUUCUACCGAGAUCUAUAAAUCAGUUCAAUCUCACUACUAGAGGAAUGGGGGAAAGUAGAUAACAUCUGAUCAUUAGGUAGAAGAUCAUAGUAAGACACAGUGUGAGCUAACUUUGGCAUUUACACACCUGUAAUCCCAGGCUUUAGGAUGCUCUAGCAAGAGUGACCGCCAUCCACUGUGAAGCCAACUUGAACUAUAACCAAACCAAAACAGUGCCAGGUCUUACCAGGGGUCAGUCACAGGGAUGUGACAGGGGAGGCAAAGGUAGGAUAUCAGGUCAGUGUGAUAGUCCACAAAGCAAGUUCAACAGCCAUACUCCGUACAGAAAACUGCCAGCAACCUCUGGCCAUCAGCACGCCUCCUCAACACACCAAGUACGUCAUAUACACCCCCAUGCUGACAACUCCCUACACAAUAUCUACACUGGUUUUGUGUAAGAUGUUCUUCCAAAGAAGAAACCGAGGAAUAUCCAUGAGUUGGCCUUUUUGUGUGUGCAUGUAUGUAUGUGUUGACAUGUGUACCACUAUGUGCAUAUGGAGGUCAGAGGACAACUUAUGGACAACUCUUCCACCGUGUGAAUUCCAAGAAUUGUACUUAGGGUUAUAAGGCUUGGCAACAAGCCCACCGAGCCAGGUCACCUGCACAUGACUGCUGCUGGUGUUUUCAGGCUAUAUUUUGCUCGUGUAUGGGCAUGUGUAAGUACAUGUGUAUAGAAAACUUAAUCUCUCAAAGCUGGAAUUACAAAUGUUUCUGGGAUACCCAGUUUCUAGUGUGCUGGUAGCCAGACUGUGUUCGCCACAGUAGCACAGCAGUCCUCUUAUGAUUAAGAAUAUUCCUUGGCUCUGCAUCUUGUUUUUCUGACGUUACAGCCACCUCAAAGCAUGACAAAGCCAUAACUCUAAUACUGAAACCAUUUCUCAGCAUAGUACAGCAGACUGACCAGCAAGGACUUCUUGAGAGCAUGGCCGAUGAAACUGUAAGCAGGCUUUGCUACAUGAAAUAAGAAAUGUUCUGUGAGAAAUCACUUAGAGUUUCACUCAGGCAGGUUUCCAACCACUGUUAGCUAGGUUUGUCUCUCUUUGACAAAGCCACCUGACAGGAAGAAUUCUCAACUGAGAAACUACCUCUGUAAGAUUGGACUUAAGCCUUUAGGGUGUUUCCUUGUUGAGGUGGGAGGGUGGACCUGGGUACUAUACUUAAACCAGUAAGCAGCAUUCCUCCCUUGCUGUACUGACUGGUUGUGUCAACUUGAUACAAGCUGGAGUUAUCACAGAAAAAGGAGCCUCAGUUGUGGAAAUUCCUUCCUGAGACCCAGCUGUAAGGGUCUCAAUUAGUGAUCAAGGUGGGAGGACCCAGCCCAUUGUGGGUGUUACCAUCCCUGGGCUGGUAGUCAUGGCUUCUAUAACAGCAAGCUGAGCAAGCCAGUAAGUAACACCCCUCCGUGUCCUCUGCAUCAGCUCCUGCUUCCUGCCCUGUGUGACUUCCUUUGGUGAUGAACAGCAAUGUGGAAGUGUAAGCUGAAUAAACCUUUUCCUCCCCAGCUUGCUUCUUGGUCGUGAUGUUUGUGCAGGAAUGGAAACCCUGACUAAGACAGUUGCCUUUUGCAUCAGCUUCUGGGCGAGUUUGAAUGCCUGCCUUGGUUUACUUCAGUAGACUUGAUUCAGG
ensembl:lncRNA Snapc5 small nuclear RNA activating complex, polypeptide 5